GCCUGCGAAGGAAGUCUAUGCGAAGAAGAGACCGCUAAUAAGGAAAAGGAGGGUUGUUGUGACAGGGAUGGGUGUGGUGACCCCAGUAGGUCACGAGCUAGAUGUGUUCUACAAUAACCUUCUUGAGGGAGUCAGUGGUAUUAGUGAGAUCGAAACAUUUGACUAUGCCUACUUUCCAACGGUACAUUUUACAAUCCACCUCUACUAUAAUAGGUUUGCAUAUGAACUAUUGGGUCCCUCGAUGCAUCAGGACAUAUGCCUUGCUGAUAUUCCAGUCCUUGGAAGUGUUGAUGCUUUUGUGAUCCAGGCCGUUUAUCUAAUGUGCCCAACUAUGGAUGGGACCCUAAGGCAUUAACCUUCAAUCAGUGGCCUACAAACUGACAGUUAAGAUAAGAUACAACAACACUCUAGAGAAAAAACAAAGGCUAAGGUAAGGGUCCAUUUGGACACACUUCCUCAAAGGGGGUUUCUCAAAAUGGAGGUUUUAAAACAUGCUAACUCUAGUUUCCUUGACUCUUUCAUCCAAGCUAACUUGCUCAUUUGGCUAUCUGAGCAUAGGGAUUGAAUUCCCACCAUAAAAAACUUUGAGAGUGAUUUCUCAAAAAUGCCUUUGGUUGGUCUAUCUGAGCGUGGGUUAGGUGAGGCAGGGUUAAUAGCUUAGUGGAUGAGGCCCUGACCAUGGGACCCGCCUUGAUGUACAUGUUGUAUAUCCACGCUGUUCAUCUGUUUUGCCACACAAGUGGGGAUUGAAUUCCCACCAUAAAAAACUUCUUGGGGUCUAUGAAAGUUUGGAUCAAGCUAUUAUUUGUGUUUUCCCUUCAUCCUAGUCUGUGUGAACUCAUCAACAGGUUGGAUGGCAAAUAAACAUUACUGUGGAUCUAGCAAAGUUUUCAAUGGUGGGUGUUCAAUCACCAUUGUUUUUCUGUCGUGUGGUACACCAGGGAUUUGUAUCUGCCUCAAUUUUCAAUGAUGAUUGGUAAUUGAGAAGUUGGAAUUGUUAUAGCUUUAUUAACCUCUAUGGUUAGUUGUUCUGAGGGAGAUGACUUCUUCACUGCAGGUUUAAAAGUAGGGCUGAUUCAAGUGGGAUCUACCAUCAUUUGAUAAAUGACUUCUUCACAGAAGGAAAUCACCGUUCAGCUGAUCAACUACACAAGGAGUGGUGUGGCCCCUAGAGAGUAAAUUGGCCUCAUUUUCAGGAAGGGUAAUCUUCAUGGUGGGCCUACUGUUUUCAUGUAAUGGAUGUCCUACACAAGUGACAUGCUAGCAGAAAGAUGGUAUGGCACCACAAGUUGCAGCAGGGAGGUAUAAAUGCAGCCUUUGGAAAUAUGACUGAAGAUGAUUGGAGGUAGCAUAUGGAUGACACUGUCAAAGGAAGC